AUGCAUGCAAGAAAUAGAAGCAGAUUUGCGGGAGGUACAAGUAGUUACAUAAGUUGUUCCUAUUCUUUGAACAUAACCUGUCAUACAAUCAGAGCAGCACAGUGCUCAAGAUACUGUGACAGUCCUCUGGAGGUGUCUGUCUUGCUCUGCAAGCAAGUCUGUUACCUGAAGCUCAAUACAUGCCUCCUCAAAGCUGGAAUUCCAGUGCAGCCAUCAUGCAAGCAGACCUCUACUUUCACAUUAAAAACACAAAAGCCACUACUUUCUUCAACCUGACAAAGAAGAGUAGCUGGCAGUUAGCAGUUGCCCAUUUUUUGUUGGCUUCUGUAACCAAAUGCACCAAUACUGUCCGUGCAGCCCUGAGCUGGCAAGAAAAGUGUAAAGCUGAGGACAUCCCGAGGCAUGGAGAAGGCAUUUGUACUCGUGUGUAGUGUCUAGCCACGCACAUCCUGGCCAAUUGACUAGGCUGAAAAUACAACUAUGUACUGAAAAAAAACCCAAAGUGCUGUAAAAUGCUUGUCCUAAUGAUUUUCUUCAAUUAAAAUAAAAAAUCUGUACUAUGAUUUUUAAAAUUGUAUUAAAAUGAUUUAAAGAAAUCUCAUGCAGGUAAAGAGAUAUUUGUCAACAGCUAAUUUUCAGUAUUUUUAUUUUUAAUUUAAAUCACUAUUUUAAAAAUAUUCUAUUUUGUGUGUGAUUUUUAAUCAAAAGAUCUUUUUUGAUCUUCUAUUUAUGAAAGCAUAUUUGUUCUAAUCUAUUUUGUAGCAUUAGAAGUAUAAAAAAUGAAGCUGAAAUGGUGAAAAGUUCCUUUGGGGGAAAAGACAUGGAAGACUUGUUUGAGUGUGCAGUUGAAUUAGUUAAAAUGUUACUCAAUAAAAUUCCUGGAAUUUUUUUAUUAUUAUUUUUUAAAGAAAGCUAUAAAGUAGGAUAUAUACAUUGCUGAGAUGAGUCUUUACAACUUUUUCUUUCUCUUUUUAAUCUCUUUGAUGUUCAAGACUACAUAGGAUCUCUCUCAAAGAUUUCCCUGAAAUGUAGCAAACUUUAAAUAUAUGCUAACAAUUUUUCUGCUCUAUAGUCUUGAUAUCAGGAUUGUUUUCUUGACCUAGUAAUUAUACGCAGGUUUGCAACUGACUGGUCUUAUUUUUUGUGUAAUACUCCCAGUAAAGACUAAAUUAUCUCGUAGUUACUCUAAAAAUCUUCUACCUUGUUCUUUUGCUUUAGCUGAGAAGCAUCCUACGAAAGUUGUAGUCUAACUUUGCAGGAUAUUUUCACCUGAACUUGUAGUUAAAAAUAAGUAAUCUGAUUUUCUCCUUAUAAAGAAGGGAAAUAAAUCUUCUGCUUAAGAAGACAGGCAUAUCUGGUGCCACAUAUCAGGUUGUCUCUACGAGUCCUUGUUAAAGUGGAGUUGUAGGCUCAUUAGCAUCCUAUUAAUAUGUGCAUAAAAUGUAGUCUGUGUCUGAGCCCAAAUACACAAGCUGGGAAAUCAAAGAGAAAUCCUUCACACCUUUUGCUGGCUUCAUCCUGAACUUUUAUUUAUCUUAAAACAACUUCCUUAAGAGAAUUUCCUCUUCUAAGGAAAUGCUUUUCUCUGAAUUUAACAGAGAAGUACUGCAUUGAAUUAUUUUUGGAGCAGCACAGUCACUGUUGAAAGAGAAUUGUUUUAAUCGCAAUGUUUAAGUUUUAAUUUUGACUUGUAUAAAUUAUCUUAAGGAAAUGAAACAUUUAGGUCUUAUUUUCUUUCUCGGUAAAAUAAAUGCUGGUUAGAAAGAAAGGACUGCAAAAGCUGAACUGUGGGCUACAAUGGUUACUCACAUUAAUUUGUACUUGUUUCAGAGUACACCGUGUAAACUGGGAAACUACCUUUUAAACUUCUGUUGGUUUAACACUGAUUUAGUGCAGCUGGAAACAAAAUGAUGUAAAUCACUUAUUGCAACUUAAACUUACGUUUGGUUUAUGUUAGUAAGCAGUAAGCUGGAUUGAUAUGUCACUAUUAAACUGUAGCCUGGUGCUGGCUAAGUAAUGUCUGUUUACAGGGGAGAUGGAGUAACUGCAUGUUUUGUCAGGUGGAAAACAAGAUACUUCUCAUGUAGCUGAAAAGUGAUUCCAGAAUCACUUAGAUGACUUUGUUGGAAGUUGUAGAGCUUGUGAAAGGGGUAAAAUAUACACUAUGAGAGGUGCAAAUAUUGCUAGAAUGGGGCUCAUACUCAGCAUGGCAUUUGUGUAAAACAAGCUGAGAGCUGCAGAUGGGGAAGGAAUAGGAUGGGUCCCUGUGUAUGCUGCUGUGUGUCACCCUAGUGAAAUCUCAGUCCUAUCGUGUGCUGCUAAGGAUUCUUUAAAAAUAUUAUGAAAUUCUCUUAAAGGUUUCCUGCUGCCUGGGGCCUGCUGCUGGCUGCGGCCUCUAGACGGGCUCUCCCCACACCCACGUGUCAAUGGGUCUGGAAGCCCGUGUGGAAGUCAGUGUUUCCAAUUACUAAAUUGUCAUUCAGAUUGGUAAAAGUAUGCUAAUGCUGCUUUUUACAGGAUUUACUCCCAUGUUAUUGCUCAGGGGUUCUGCAUCGCUGUUUCCCGCUGUAUAUUAAUGUCAAAUAGACGUAUGGGUGAUUGAAAAACACAGGCCUCCUCCGCCUGGACCUGCACACAAAAAAUGUUUCAACUUUUGUAAUCUCGUGAAUGGGAUCAGCGUGGCCUCAAGGUCUAAAAACAUACAAAAGCCUCAGUUUUUUGCCCUUCCAAGAUCUUGAGCAUUUGAAGUAUUUUCCUCAGUGUGUUGUAGACAUGGAUUGAUACGGAAAUGAAAUCUUAAAAUGUGAUUUUUUUUUUCUCUGCUUAAGAUCUGCUUAUGUAGUAAGAUUGCAUCUGUACAAGUGGGUAGGACGGCUCAGCUUUUUUGUUGCAAAGGCCCAUACCUGCUCAAUUACAGCUGUGUUCACUGGCAGACAUGGCUGCAUGUACAUGCCCAGAGUGUUUUGCAUAUGGGAAAAAGCAGUGGUGGUGAAAAUAAACAUAUUUAAGUAAGAGACCAUGGCUGCCAACAAAAUUCAAAUAAUCUUUAUCCCUACCAUUUUUAAUUGGAAGCUUAUUUAUGUAGUGAAUGACUUUAGACCUAGUUACUCAACAUGUGCAUUUUCUUUACUGUCAAACCGAUUUUCUUUGUUCAUUAGAAACAUUAGAGAGUGAUCCUAGGUCAGUGGAUUAAGGACUCCAUAAAUUUGCUUCACCACUAGUUCAUUACAUUAACAUUUAAUUCAGACCUGUAGCCUCUUCUGUACUGAGUCUCCAGUUGUCCCCUCUUGGCACUCUGUGGCUGACUUCAGGGAUGGAUGAAUGGAGGAUCAUGCACACAACGAGCCCACAGAUAUGGAUUAGAAGUAGCCGAAAAUAAAAGUGCCAAGCGAGAUGCUGGGUCCUAGCACUGACUUUCACUCAGCAGGCCCAGCUUUUGCUAUGCUAUGCUGUUCACUGGUGUAGGCAUGGCCAGAUAUGUGUACCCAGACCCUGUUAAUUUCACUGCUUUUAAAGUAGCUGCCAUGCAUCUUAGGCAGCAUGGAGUUCUCGAUCCAUUUAGGCAUUUACGCUGAUGGAGUUUGCAGAACUAUUAGGACUUAAAAUCUUUGGCUCAGGAAAGUAAUGCGUUAAUACAU
ensembl:lncRNA